UUUUUAUGCAAACAAAACUUUUAUUAUAUAAAAAAAAAUAUAAACAUUAAAUAUUUUUUUCACUCAUAACAAGCCACUCAACCUUGAACUCACAAUCGUAACUCAAAUACACACAAUCGUAACUCAAAUACACCCAACUUAGAAGAGAAGGAAAACAUUGGAUAUCUCACUAAAGAGAUAGCCGAUCUUCCCAAUAAUCUUCACCAAUACCUUACAGAGCUGGCUCAAAUGCCAUUAUUUCCAACAACAAACUCUUUCAACAACUCAUAACAUUUCACAAGUUUUUAUAGUGGCCAACGAAGUAUUAAUUGGCCUUGUUGUUGCUUAUUGCUUGAGAAGCUUAGUUACUACGAUUGGACUUAAACAUACAUCCAAUCCAAUGUUAUUAAUUAAUUACUGAUGAUUUCAUAACGGAGAAUAGAGGAUUGAAGGAAUCUCCACAAUCAACAAAUUGGUAGUUCACUGUAAGAUGACCUCGUUCAUAUCCUUUCCCAUCUGUGUCCAGUUGACGGAAAACAUUCACGUCCAAAUCUAGUCCUCCAUUACUACACUGAUCCACAAUCCUCACUGUCGUUUUAGCUCCAGUCCCUGUAUUUGUCACACUCAAGCACUUUCCACAGGAGGGUUGGCCGUGUGCUCCGACGGGACCGCAGAAUGCAGUCCAGCCAUACUUGCUCCGCCAUGAGUAUGGCUUGUUAGCAUCCCAUGUAGAGCAAUAUGCACUUGCGGCAUUCAAGUCCCAUCCAUGAUCCUGUGAAUUAUACAAAUGGUACGUCGCAAGAACGUUGGAAGCACUUCCACCACCAACACCUUCGCCGCUGUCUUUGCAAUUGCUUUGGCAGUUAUGAUCAGGUGAACAAUAUUCAUCAGUGGAGCCACACCACCCCCACUGGCUACAACAUAGGUUAUUGGGGCAGAGCUUGCCACCUGCUUGCCGACCACAUUGCUCAGCAAUUGCAACACCUGUUAAACAUAAUAAAACAACUAUAAAUAUAUUCAUAACUCUUCCCAUUUCUUUCCUAUUCUUGAUUUUUCGGUAUGCAAAUGAAAUUAUGGUGAGCUAUGCUCACUUGGCGUUAUUUAUAGCCGAGAGACGUAUAGCUAAGGUGGGUUGAUCACCCAAUACCAUAAUACCCUGAAGGAUUAAAGAAUAUUAGAACAAGAAAAAGGUAGAGAUGGACUGAAUGGUGGUGAAAUUCGGGGCGUUGAUGAGAUUGGAAAAUAGAUCAUGUGGUGGCUGGUUAGGGUGGAAAUAUUCAAAGGGAUGAUGUGAGGCGGCUACGUGUGUGUGCUUUGGGUUGAGUCGUUGUUCGAAGAUGAACACGACACAUG
rnacentral:misc_RNA from 1 species